AGGUACCGCUCACCAACACUGCUCGAGCCGCUCGGUACAAGCGGCCGCUGAGCACC
rnacentral:ncRNA from 1 species